AAUGCAGACUAUGAAAUGGACAGGAAGUGAGGGUGCUAAACUGUUGCUCUGCAUUCCACAGGACUAGGGUGGUAGUAUAAAUUGUGCAGCAUAAAAAAAAGGAGCUGCACAGAGAAAUCAGGGUUCUUUUCCCUUGGCCGUUUUUGUUUUACUUUUUGUUCCUUAUUUGGUGAUUUUCAUCUGCAAGCAGGGGCUCAUGAAGGUUCAAUGCGCCUGUUUGCUGCUGCUGCUGCUCUCUGCUGCUGUGCUCUCACAAACUUAUAAUGAUUUCAAAAGGAAACACAUCCUUCCAAAAAAGGGCUCUCAUGACUGUAAUAACAUGAUGAUAAAUGUCAAUGACAUAAAUCAGUGUAAGUCAAUAAAUACUUUCAUCAAAGAUAAGGGGAACUUAGUGCUACACAAAGCCACUACUAUCAAAAAUGGGUUUGUCACCCACAAAUUUGAUGUCAUUGACUGCAUAAUGAUAAGCAGCAAACCUUGUUUAUACCAAAUGCUAACACUCAGAAAAAACAAAAGGAUAAAAUGUGAAAAUGGCCUACCUGUACACCUUGAGGCCUGAAGUAUCAGGUUUCAAUGAUGCCUUAAACGGUUCUCUUUCUUUCUGUUUCUUUAUCAGUUAUAUAUUUUAUUGUGUGAUGCUGAAUCUGAGUAAAUAAGUCACAAAAAGAGUCCCAUCAGUCAGACUCUGCCCAAACUUUGCCUGUGCCACAAACCUUUAAUGUUGACCUUCCUUUAUAAACAUUUACAUUUGAUUUAAUAAAGGGUUUCUAAAACCACAAAAUUAACAGAUAGAAAGUAUGCCAUUGUUUGAAAUGUGUCUAUGAGGAAGCAAUAAGUUAAUAAAAAUGUGAAUUUGAACAUGUACUAUCUCAAGUAUAUCAUAAAAUAGUUUGAAAUGCUUAAUCAUUGUAGGGUCUGUGAUUUGGUGCUAUAUAUAUAAAAUGUAAUUCAAUUUAAUGCUGUUUUAAAUAGACAGUAGAAAUUCCUGAUUAUGUGUGUGUUGCUUGUUGAAGCACUUUGAGUUUGUUGAUACUUGCUGAAGACCAUCUCUGAAGAUGUCCUUUGGAUCAGUUACUAUCCUUACAUGACAUUAUCAUGUAUUAUGUGUGUUUUAACAGUUCUGAGAACAUGAUUGUGAUUGGCAGUCACAAUCAAAACUACUGUAACAACAUGUAUUGAUAAGUUAACAUUUGUAUGCCUUCACUUUUUGAUCAUCUGGAGAUCAUUUAACUAAAAUAAAAAUGUGCAAUCUGACAAA